AUUUCAAGAGGGGCAGACACCACGACGCCUUCUCUACUAUGACUGCUACAAAUCCAAAGCUGUGUUUGAUUCAGGACUCAAAGAAGGGAAAUAUGAUGCUUAUGAAGGCACAGGGAAGAACUGUAAAUUCAUAGUACGAAAUGUAGAAGAAAGCGAUUCUGGGUUGAGAAUUGAACCCGGAGCCUUCACACUUGGCUGUGUUCUCACCCCCUUUUCUAUUUUGAGAAAGGAUCUUGAUGUCUGAACUGUUCCCAAACUCCAUUUUGAUUCCUGCGAAGAACGCUGCUGUGGUGUUGGGCAGAGCCAGCUCCAUGGAGACAAGGUACUUGAAUCCACCCCCUUCCCACCUCCACACCGAAAGGGGCUCCACAGCCAUGCUGGUACCAUGAGUCCACUGAGUGAUGAGUCAUGAAAAGGUUUGACCUGUGUCGUUCAGGUCUGGUAGCACAAAAACUGGUGACGGCAGGCACCUGGAGAAGACCACGCGAGACAGGAAGUCCUGGCAGACUGGCCACUUGGGCCAACCCCCCUUAAAAUCAAUCAAAUAAUCUUCAUGAAGUAACAAUAAUAAAAAGGAUCUUCUUGGAGUUUCUAAGAACAAGUAAGAUCACAAAGUAUGUAUCUUUUACUAUGCAAACGGACUGAUUACUGUGGGAUCAUGCAGCUGUGGGCAUAGCUCUGUGUGUUGCUGGCUGUCAGAAAUGACUGAUCUGGGCACAAGGCCCUGCGAUGAUCUCUGUUCAGACACCCAGAAGACCCCUCCUUAUUCUGAACCUGUAACUCCUGAAGUUCCCUCCAUUGAGGGUCUCCUCAGCUUCCUUCCUUGGCACACAGCCCAGGCGUAGGGGACUUCGUGACUGCAAACAUUCGUGAGCUCUUCGCUCUGGGAAUCGGAUUUUUUCCCUCUUAUUUCUCAGACUGAUUGAAGCAUUUGUUUAUUCCUUGAUAAUUUGAUUUGUUGUAAACAUUUGUAUGAGUUAAUUAUGAAUUUAACCGGCUGGAGAUUUCUAGAGAAAUGACUGGAUCUUGAAGAAGUUAUGCUCCUAAUAACUAAUGGAUUAAUAAACUGAUGGUCAUUGCUUAAUGUGCUGUUAGGACUUGUAGCCUGGAUAGAGGAGGUGGACCACUGUGUCCUGACUUCAGAGGAUGUCUCUCAUUGGCUCUCUUCCCUGGGCUCUGUUUCCUGGGCACCAUAAAGUGAGAAGCUUGCUCUACGAUACGAUUCUCCCAUGAUUCUUUGCUCUAUCAUGUGAUUCCACCAUGAUGCUUCUCUGCUGGAUAGAGCUAACUGCAGACUGAGACUAUGAGCCAAAUGCACUGUUUCCUUCUGUAAGUCAUAUGCUGCAGGUCUUUUGUCUCAGUAAAAGGAAAUUUCACCUAUACAGUAUUAUUUUGUUUUUACUUGUGGUUAGGUUAAAUAUGAAGAGGAAAUAUUAUUUCAAUAGCACAAAAAGAACAUUUUUCCAUUACUGUAUAUUAAGACAGAAUUUU